CCUUCCAGUUCUAUACCUGUGAUGAUGAGUGCGAUUGCUGGACCCCGUGUUCCAGAGAGGUGACCGCCCAAACAUCCUUGUUACUUUAGGUCACCCGACCGCUCUGAACAGACAAAAUAUAAGAUCUCUAGACUCUAUGAUGCUUGGCAAGGUCACCAGCUUCGUAAGUUCAAUUCCACAUCUCGGAUUGAGCUAUAUGUAAUUGGUCACUAUAUCGUUGUGAUGGCUCUGCAAUUCUAGUCUGGACCUGGCGGCUGUGGCAGUUGCGAUCUCUGUGGCUGCUCAGAGUGGCGGCUUCCUACCGAUAUCGAUUAUCACUUUGUUUCGAUUGUUGAAGCAUUGUCGCUACUUCGAAUUCGGCGUGUUUCCUCGUAUUACAUUAGGGGGAUUUUGCUAUAUCCUGUAUUCGUGUGAUGACAUUUGUUCAGGCAGCUAGCUCACGGUGCAGGCGCUGUACUGCAUGUAGCCUUUCAAUUACAACAGUACUUGUAAUUACAAGCAAGCAAGCUGAAUAUUGCUCAGAAAUUAACAAGAUCUCAAAUUUCGAAUGUUCACGAUCACGAGUCUGUUUGGUUGACACUGUAUAUUCCCUUGAAGUUUUGCAGACAAGUGCACACUACACCGUGAUUAGAGUCUGCAAUUGCUUCUGGAGCUUGAGCACUGUAGCCUUCAGACUUGCCAGUUGCUGUGCACGGCGCUUAGUCCUGGGAUUAUGAUCUGGCGAGCAACUCAUGCUCAUCCGCACCUGACAGAACAAAAACAGGAUAUCAUUGUGAGUCGAACAGCAGCAGAGAAUCUAAUCAAAUAUGGCGUCGACCAUUCAAGUGCACACAGCAUGGGCACAAGGCUUUUUGAGCAGAGAUGCAGCUCUCUUCCUACCUGACAGCGGCUGGCCUUC
rnacentral:lncRNA from 1 species